UACGGGAGGCAGCAGUGGGGAAUAUUGGACAAUGGGGGAAACCCUGAUCCAGCGACGCCGCGUGAGUGAAGAAGUAUUUCGGUAUGUAAAGCUCUAUCAGCAAGGAAGAAAAUGACGGUACUUGACUAAGAAGCUCCGGCUAAAUACGUGCCAGCAGCCGCGGUAAU
rnacentral:rRNA from 1 species